rnacentral:rRNA from 1 species
GAAUAUUGGGCAAUGGGCGCAAGCCUGACCCAGCCACGCCGCGUGAGUGAUGAAGGCCUUCGGGUUGUAAAGCUCUGUGGGGAGGGAAGAAAAACCCGGGCUCGAAUAGGUCCUGGGCUUGACGGUACCUCCUUAGCAAGCACCGGCUAACUCUGUGCCAGCAGCCGCGGUAAGACAGAGGGUGCAAACGUUGCUCGGAAUCACUGGGCGUAAAGGGCGCGUAGGCGGAUUGGGAAGUCGGGUGUGAAAUCCCUGGGCUCAACCUAGGAACUGCAUUCGAAACUCCCAGUCUAGAGUGACGGAGAGGAAAGCGGAAUUCCCGGUGUAGAGGUGAAAUUCGUAGAUAUCGGGAGGAACACCAGAGGCGAAGGCGGCUUUCUGGACGUCAACUGACGCUGAGGCGCGAAAGCGUGGGGAGCAAACAGG